rnacentral:rRNA from 1 species
AUUGAACGCUGGCGGCAUGCCUUACACAUGCAAGUCGAACGGCAGCGCGGACUUCGGUCUGGCGGCGAGUGGCGAACGGGUGAGUAAUACAUCGGAACGUACCCUGUUGUGGGGGAUAACUAGUCGAAAGAUUAGCUAAUACCGCAUACGACCUGAGGGUGAAAGUGGGGGACCGCAAGGCCUCACGCAGCAGGAGCGGCCGAUGUCUGAUUAGCUAGUUGGUGGGGUAAAGGCCCACCAAGGCGACGAUCAGUAGCUGGUCUGAGAGGACGAUCAGCCACACUGGGACUGAGACACGGCCCAGACUCCUACGGGAGGCAGCAGUGGGGAAUUUUGGACAAUGGGGGCAACCCUGAUCCAGCAAUGCCGCGUGUGUGAAGAAGGCCUUCGGGUUGUAAAGCACUUUUGUCCGGAAAGAAAUCGCGCUGGUUAAUACCUUGCGUUGAUGACGGUACCGGAAGAAUAAGCACCGGCUAACUACGUG